ACGGAAGGCAGCAGUGGGGAAUAUUGGGCAAUGGGCGAAAGCCUGACCCAGCAACGCCGCGUGAAGGAAGAAGGUCUUCGGAUUGUAAACUUCUUUUAUGUGGGACGAGCAAAUGACGGUACCACAUGAAUAAGCCACGGCUAACUACGUGCCAGCAGCCGCGGUAAUACGUAGGUGGCAAGCGUUAUCCGGAUUUACUGGGUGUAAAGGGCGCGUAGGCGGGGAAGCAAGUCAGAUGUGAAAUCCAUGGGCUUAACUCAUGAACUGCAUUUGAAACUGUUUCUCUUGAGUGCUGGAGAGGUAGAUGGAAUUCCUAGUGUAGCGGUGAAAUGCGUAGAUAUUAGGAAGAACACCAGUGGCGAAGGCGAUCUACUGGACAGUAACUGACGCUGAGGCGCGAAAGCGUGGGGAGCAAACAGGAUUAGAUACCCUGGUA
rnacentral:rRNA from 1 species